rnacentral:tRNA from 1 species
AGUUUCUUAGCUUAUUUAAAGUAUGUAUUUUGAAAAUACAAGAUAGAUUAAAAUUUAGUAACUU